AUAAGUGAUCUACCCUAUUGACCUGCUCGGGGUAUGGCUUUGGCAGAUCAAUAAGGUCGGAGCUACCCUAUUAUUUAAGGACCUUUAUUUUGGCAGGCGCAACCGUGUAUUGGUGAUUCAGAAUUCCUCGCUCCCUGGCAUUUCCGGUUCAGUUUCAGUUCCCGGUUCAGUUCAGGAGCUGUUUAACUUCCUCUAUUUCAUGUGGUGGUGUCAGUGGGCCUGAGUGUUCUAGCCACCACAUCACAGUGUCUGUAAUAUUUUAGUUUUUCUUUCUUUGCUUAUUGUUUAGUGUAUUGUGUAAUUCUGGGUUAAUUGGUGUUUUUCUUUCUCUCCAGGAACCAGUGAGUCUUGGUGGACAGGGGAAGCUAGCUGCCUUCAUUCGGUGGUGUGUGCUUCACAGCGUGCUCAGUGUGCCAGCACAACAACUUCCUUAUGGUGUAGGUAGUGUUUAAUGAUUUGGUUUUAAUUAAGGUGGGUUUGGAUGACCUCCCAGGAAGUAACUGGCCUGCCUUGUUCCCACCAAGCCUGGGCCUGGAGAAUUGCUUAGUUUUAAAACUCUUAUUGUGCUUCAUGGGAGAGCGACUUUAUAUUUAUAAGUUUUAAAGAUGCUUAAGUGUGAUAAUAAAAUGUAACUUUUAUUGAUA